GGCGGGUCCUCCCGCCAGAGGAUACAUCAAAACUCCUGUUUUAACGGUGUUGUCUGAGCUACAAGCAACGAAUCAAAACUUUCAACAACGGAUCUCUUGGUUCUGGCAUCGAUGAAGAACGCAGCGAAAUGCGAUAAGUAGUGUGAAUUGCAGAAGUCAGGGAAUCAGCGAAUCUUUGAGCGCACUUUGCGCCCCUUGGUAUCCCGAGGGGCAUGCCUGUUCUAGCGUCAUUUCACCACUCAAGCGCUGGCUUGGUGUUGGGCGACGUCCCCCUUUAGGGACGCGCCUCGAAACGCUCGGCGGCGUGGCACCGGCUUUAAGCGUAGCAGAAUCUUUCGCUUUGAAAGUCGGGGCCCCGUCUGCCGGAAGACCUACUCACAAGGUUGACCUCGGAUCAGGUAGGGAUACCCGCUGAACUUAAGCAUAUCAA
rnacentral:misc_RNA from 1 species